rnacentral:tRNA from 1 species
GAGGCUUUAGUAUAAAUAGUAUAAUUUAUUUUCAAUAAAUAGGAAUAAGUCUUGU